CAUCGUUGCUAUACUUCUCCAAUUCCUUUGGAUCAUAGCAUUUCUUCAACUCAUUGAUCUCUGUCUUCAUGUUGUUGUACAAGGUUUCCUUAUUGAAGCCAAUGUUUUCAACGAAAUGUGCUACUAAUCUGAGCUUGAGCUUCUCGGAUCCAUGGAGGGUGGGAUCAUCGUCGUGGAGUGGGCCGAUUGGGAACACUUUCGGCAUGAAAUACUUCCUGAAAUCUUCGUCACGGCCAAGGGUUGCUGGGGCUCUUCGUAUCAACGGUUUGGCAUUGGGAUCGAGUUGGUUGCCGUUGAAAGCUUCGUCCAAUGACCGGAGAUUCUCUAAUUCGCCAUUGCUGAGAGUGAAGUCCGUACCCGGUAUUGGAAUGAUCGUGUCUAGGGGAUUGGUGUUGGUGGCGAUUGUUUGAUCAGUGGAAACUGCUCCGCCAGGAACUCCGACGGCUCCGCCUCCUUCCUCUGUGGACGACAUUUUCUGGUUGAUCAGUUCGAAGUAAUAAACAAGGUGAUUUUGUAAACUGUUUUUGGCUGAGUGAGUGAUGUUUUGGAAAAAGGCGGCAAAUGGCUACGAUGACGACAAUGUUUCUAUACCUUAUAUCUGCGAGUUAAAUUUGAUUAAUAAUCUUUUAGAAAAAAGUCGAAUUAAUAUUUUUUAACAAAAAUAGUGACUAAAAUAUUAAAUUUGUAAAAAUGAAAACUCACAUGACAAUCCAUAUAUAUAUAUAUAUGUUUUUUUUUAUUUUUAAUUUUUAAUUAUUUGUUAACAUGACAUAUAAAAAAGUAGUAUUAUAUUAGCAUGAAGUGCACGUGGUUUGCUGCACGAGUUGUAACACCAGCACCAUUAAAAUUUUAAUAUUUUAGUUAACAUUUUUGUUAAAGAAAAGCAAUUUGACUCUUUCUUAAAAAGUUAAUGACUAAAUUUAACUCUAAUAUUAAUAAUGAAUACCAAUUUGACAGAAAAAUGUAAAUGUCGAUAACUAAAUUUAAUAUUAUAUCUUUUUUUUAAGUUGCACUUAUAUAAAUAUAAUAUAGAUUCAAGUAUACAAAUAUAUGUAUGGAUUAAUUUAGAAAGAAUUAAACAAAAUUCACGUAUGAUAUAAGUAUCUGUUGAGAGUGAGAACCACACAUCACGAUUGAGAAUAAUAUUAUAAAACCUAAAUACUCAAAGGCUUAAAACUUUCUUCGCCUUAACCUUCUCUUAAUAAGUUAUUAAACUAACUAAAUUAAACCUAAUUUAAAAUUAGGUUAAGGUACUUGGAAAGUCCUUGUAUUAUGAGGAUUUGAUCAAAUUAAUCCCUCUAUUAUUAAAUAGAUCAAUUUAGUCCUUAUACUCUUUAAAAGAAUCAAAUAAAUCUAAAGUGCAAAAGAGUUAAUAUUUAUAGUAUAAAAAAUGUCUUGAUUUUUUUUUUUUUGCAAUUGCAUUUUAAUUCCAAACAAAUAGUUUCAUUUACAAAAUCAUAAAAACUUGAAAAAUAUUAACUUUAUUAAACAAUAAAUGUAUAUUUAUUUCAAAUUGGUCUUAUUUGUUUUUUUUAAUAGUAUAGGGACUAAAUUGAUAUAUUUAAUAGUAAAUGAACUAAUUUGAUUAUAUCUCUAUAAUAUAAGGACCUCUCAAACAUAUUCCCCUUAAAAUUACUUUUUUUUUGGAAAUACAGACAGAAUAAACUAGACUUGUGGGAUGGUUCAUCUAAUUCAACCUUGUAACAUGUCUUUAAGUAUAAUAUAUAUUUUUAUAAUACUAAUGAUAAUUUUACUUUCCCAAGUCACUAAGUAUGGUAUUUGAUCUUACUUUUCUUUUUUCUCUGGUAGAAGUAGACCUGUCCAUGGGCUGGGCGGCCCGGUCCGACGGCCCGUCCGAAAUAUGGGAGGAUUCGGGUAAAAAUAAAGGCCCGAAAUAUGGGCUUGGGCAAAAAAACGACGGGCCUCGAGCACCACUUUUUUGGCCCAGGCCCAGGCCGGCCCGAAUAUAAUAAAUAUAUUUUUUUAUUUUUAAAAUACUUUUAAAAUAUUUUUAUUUUUUAUUUUUAAAACAAUUUUUUAAUGUUUAUUAAAAAAUGGGCCAGGCCGGGCUGGGCUCGGGCUUAUGAUAUUUUUUCCGGGCCGGGCUUGGGAAAAAUUUCAGGCCCAUAUUUCGGGCCGGGCCCGGGCCUAGGAGGCGGGCCGAAAUUUUUUUUCGGGCCCGGCCCGGCCCAUGGACAGGUCUAGGUAGAAGCCACACUCUUGACUUUAUCAAAGGAUUUAGUUCCAUUUGAUGCUCCAACAUACUAUUUUCUUAAUGUAGUUGAUUUUGUAUCGAUUUCAAUCAUAUCAGUCGUCAUAUAUUAUUUCAAUAAGAAAUCGAAACGAUCAAUUUUAUUUUCAGCACAAGAGCAACGGGAAAUGGGGCAGGCAGGGAUCGGAAAAUUGUUUUUUUUCACAAAACUUUAAAUUAUAGUCGUAAAAUUAUACUUUAACCCCUCGUAAAUCACAAGAUUUUAAUUUAGUCUUUUAAAAACUUAUAAUGAUAUUAGCUAAUACAAUGAUGAAAUUUGAUCUUAACUCUUAUCAAAACUUAUAACUUAAUUUCAAUCCCUCAAAAUAAAUUCUAACUUCGACCUUAUUUUCGCACUAGUAAAAAUUUUAAUCUAUAUUAAUUGCACUGAUAAAAAUAUUGUGCAUUGAUUGGUAUAUGAAUGAUAUUAAUAUAUAUAUAUAUAUAUAUAUAUAUAUAUAUAUAUAUAUAUAUAUAUAUACUAUUUCUUUGACCAACUUUAAAGUAGAAACUUUAAUAUUUCAAGUAGGGAAAAAAAUUCAACAUAUAAGCCAAUGAAAAGAAAAAGUGGAAAUAUAAAAUCUCUAAAAUCUUAAUCAAAGACAUUUAGGUGUCAGCUUUUAUUAAACUUUAAUCUUUUAUUUGUGGAUUUUUUUUUGUUUAAUUUAUUGGUUGGUUUCUUUUGGAAUUUGUUGGAGGAUGAAUUUUGUUUGUGAAGUUUAUUGAUGAAUAUUUAUAUAAUUGAUUAAUACUUUUAUAUUUGAAACUUAUUUAAUCUCAUUCAAGUUUUUAAAUAUUAUAACAUUUUAUCGAUAAUUUUGAAAGGAUAUACAAAAACAAGUCAGUAGUGAUAUGUAUCAGUAGUUUUUGUAGAAAAACGAUGCCCAUCAAUGCAAUACUGACUACAUUGGUUAGAAAAAGACAUUUAAUCCUUGAAUUUAGCAACUUUCCUUAACUUAGUCCUUAAACUUUUAUUUUAUCUACAUUAGUCUUUCAACUUGACAGGUUUUCUCUAUUUUGAUGCAUGUGAUGAGACAACACUCUGAUAUCGUGUCAUGACAUCAUUUAAAAAUUAUAUUCUUAAUAAAAAAAAAUAGGUGUUGACAUGACAGAAAUAUCACAAUAAUGACAAAAAAUGAGAAAAGUUGCCAAAAUUCAUGAUUGAUGUGGAUUGUGGUGAAGCCAGCCUCCUAAAAUGAAUUUUAUUUUUAUUUAGGCCUAUUUAUAAUUUAUAAAAAUUUAAAUUAAUAAUGGUAAUAUUGUACUUUACCCCAAAAUGAUAAAAAUUGAUUUAAUCAUUUAAAAAUGAUAAAGAUUUAGACUAUUAAAAUGAUGAAAUUAUAUUUUUAUUGUUAUAAAAAUAAUACACAACUUAAUUUCGGCCUCUCCCAAAAACAAUUUUGACUUCUCCCCUGAACGUGGAUAAAAAAUAAAAAAAGAGUCUAGAGAUCGAAAUGAAAAAAUUGUGGAUUAAAUAUUAUCUUAUUAUUUUAUUUAAAUAAAAUGUACCGUAUACAUCAAAAAGUCUAGUAAUUGAAUAAUAAAAAUGUGAUGUUUUUAAGUAAAUAUUGAAUUUAAACCUUAUGAAAUACUAAAAAAUUUUACAACAAAAUUUAACUACUAAAAAAUAAAGCUAUUAUAUAUAAAAAUAAAGCUAUUUUGACCCAAAAAAGUGAAAUGGAAAUGAUUAUUCCGUCUAUUAUUCGGUUUAACUUUGAGUGUCAAUUACGCAAUGCAUUUAAGAUGUUUGUUUUGGUGUAACUAAGGUAAAAUAAUUUUGAUUCUAUUUUUCAUAGAUGGAAUAAUGUGGAUCGUAAAAAGUUAUCAAAUUUCUGUUUUCGGUGGGUUAAAGAGAAAUGGGGUUGCUCUGCUUUGCUCUCUUUUCUUUUUGAAAAGUAAAUGAGGAGCGGGAGAGAUUCUGCAAAAUCCUAAUUAAGUCUUUCAGAAAAUUUCAAAAUUUGUCUUUAAUUUUCUCAAAAGUUUUGAUUAAGUCUCUUAAAUUUUAUUUUCAAAAAGAAAUUCUCAUUAACUAUCAAAAAUUAAAUAGAUUAAAAUGAAACUCGAAAAAUCUCAUAAAUCACAAGAGUUUACAAAAAGACAAGUAAACAACACUUAGGGUGGGUUUGGAUGGGCGGUUGGGUGCGGUACGGUGCGUUUAGCUUACUUUUUGUCUCACGCUACAGUAUUGCUAUAGUAUCUAAUUUUACCGCCACCGCUGUUUUUACACUAACUGCAGGUAAACACACCGCCUAUUCAAACUUACCCUUACUUUGAUUGAUGUAUGGUAUAAUAAGUCUGCAAAGCACAAAGAUAAAGUGCAGCAAUGGCAGCCACAAAUGCCAAACACGUCGAAGGACUCCCAAAAAGAGUAUUAUAAGCUUGAGCUGCAUAAUUAAUCCACAUUUUCUUACAAUGAUUAUGUAUUUGCUGUUCAACAUAACUGUAAAUCAUCGGACUAGGAACCAAAUCAGUGUUCAUCUCAUUGAAAAGCUUAGCCACUUCUUCAUCACUCCCCAGUUCGUUGUAUAGUAUGCUGGCGUGUCUCAGGGCUUUAACAUCUUCGGCUUCAUCGAUCAAUGAAUCAAGGAAACACAUAUAUGAAGUGACCGUGAAAUCGUUGUUGAAAUCCGGACACAUUUCGUAAGCUAUUAAGUUCAUGAAUUUAGGACCGGUUGAAUCAUCGACGAUGACUGGCGGCAACCAUAAAUUUCCGACGAAGAACAUACUGUUGAAACUGAUGUCGGUCAAACAACUUGUUUUGCUUGCUUUUAACCUUAUCCCGGCGUUUUUAAGCUCUUUUAUGUUACAAAUGGUGUGUGAAUGGUGCCAUUUUGUUCCUGUUUGGUUGCUGCGAUUUAUCAAGUACCUGAAAAAUCGAGUGCAAAACCUAGAAUGCUGCCACAGAUUUUCUUUUUUUUCUCCAUUGAAAAGGAGUCUUGCUCGUAGUAGAUGCAAUAAGUGAAUUCGCUCUUCUUCUUGCUGCUCCCACCAUUCACUAGAGCAAAAUCUGUGUUAGUCGCGAGUGAAGCUAUAACUUUUUUUUUUUUGAAUUUGGAAUUGUAAAUUUUUAUCAUAACUAAAGUUUAAGUUAAAAGUAUUCAAAAUCGAUAGUCGAACCAUUCAAGUCAUCGAUUUAUAAGUUUAAUUGAUCCGAUCAAUUCAUCUAGUUUGAUUAAAUAAAUCAUUUAAAAUUUUGAUUCGAUUAUCUGAUUCAAUUAUAUUUUUUUCCCAGUUCAACUUGUUUGUAUAGGUUUUCAAAUUAACUGGUCUAAUGAUUUUAUUUAGACUGAUACCUCAAUUAAUUUUUAGUCCAAUUCGAUUGAAACAACAUUGACUAAAAUACAAUUUUAUUAAUGUAUUAAUGCAAAAAUUUUACCACUUUUAAAGAUGUUAGACUAUCAAUUUUCCAUUUUAAAAAGUUGGAUGCUAAAUCAUAAUUGUUUCCUGAAAAAGUGUACACUCAACAGGAACAAGACAGGCGGGGGUCGUUUUGAAAAAUGGAAAAAUACAUUUUAAACUCUUAAAAAGUUAUAAAAUUAUAAUUUUAUAUAGUAAAAUUACAUUUUAACCUUUUAAAAUGGAAAAAGAAAAAUUGUUCAAACAUUUUCAAAAAUGAAGAAAUCACACAUGAAAAAAAUUUAAUAAUCAAACUAUACUUAUCGGUCGAGUUGGUUGAACAGAAAAUCGAACUAAAAUAAGAGAUUAGAUCAAUUGAAUUGAAUAGAGUGAUGAAUCGAAAUUUUCUAUGUUUUUAAUAUUUUCAAAAAUUUUAUAUAAUUCAACCGAAAUAAACUAAUAAACCAGAAAUGAGAGUGUAAUCGAUUCAAUGACCCAUCUAAUAACAUUUAUAAACUCCACAUAAUGAUUCUGUUUUAAAUUCCUUAAAUUACCUGUCCUGCUGGUGUGAUUGUGGCUCUUUCAUGUCGGCUGGGGUGAUAACAGUGUCGUCGAUGAACCUUUUGAUCGCCUUCAUGAACUUUUCGCCAUUUUUGCUCGAGCUUGUAAGCAAUUCAAGAACACGAAAAGGUAAUUGGUUCUCCAACAAGAACAGAUCCGAGUACACAAAUGUCAGCAAUUGGUUUUUAAUAAACAAUUCGUUCCGCGUAGGAUUAUAAUCUUGGCCGUAACGCAUAUAAACUGCUUGUAAAAUUGCGCAGCCGUCAACGAAGAACAUCCAAGCCAGUUUCUGGUCAUCGUUGCUAUACUUUUCUAAUUCCUUUGGAUCAUAGCAUUUCUUCAAUCCACCGAUCUCUGUCUUCAUGUUGUUGUACAAGGUUUCCUUAUUGAAGCCAAUGUUUUUGACGAAAUGUGCUGCUAAUUUGAGCUUGAGCUUCUCGGAUCCAUGGAGGGUGGGAUCAUCGUGGUGGAGUGGGCCGAUUGAGACCACUCUCGGCUUGAAAUACUUCCUGAAAUCUUCGUGACGGCCAAGGAUUGGUGGGACUCUUUGAAUCAAUGGUUUGGCUUUGGGGUCGAGUUGGUUGCCGUCGAAAGCUUUGUCUAAUGACCGGAGAUUCUUUAAUUCGCCACUGCUGAGAGUGAGGUCCGUACCCGGCAAUGGAAUGAUCGUGUCUAGGGGAUUGGUGUUGGUGGUGAUUGCUUGAUCAGUGGCAACUGCUC
rnacentral:lncRNA from 1 species